UCUAGAAGGUUUAACUGCGUUAGGCAUCGCGAUGAAGCUCAUGGAAAUUUGAUUUUAGAGAAUAUUGGAAUCCAAGUGAAUCCUCAUAACCCUCCAGCCCAUGCCCUUCCCAAAAUCAACAACCUAACGUAUAUGGUCAUUAACAUGGACAUGGGAACAACUUCCGGUACAAUCUAGAUCCUCUCUAUAAUAGAGAUCUCGCUAUUAAUAGAAGACAACUUUCAAAAUCACCUCAUCAACUCAUUGUGAAGUUAAAGGGAAACACAAGAAGAAUGGCUGAUAGAGACAAUCUCAUUACUGAUUUGAGAUCUUAUGCGAAUAUUGUUGAAGAGUAUUUAAAAAGGGAUGGCAGCUUCAAAUGCGUGGAAGCGGAAGAUCUAAUUCAUAAAAUCCGGAAUGAUUAUCGGGGACUUGAGAUAGCAUAUCUAACAGAGGAGCAGUGGGUGAAAUUGUCGGAUCGACUCAGGAUAUUUAUUUUUUGUCCCCGCAUUUGAUUUUGGAUCACCCAAAAUUCUGGAAUUCUGAAAAAUGUUUGAGGUUUUUAUCAACUUUAGACAAUUUUAUUUGUAUGCUUUACACCGAUCCUAAAAGAGCAGAGGGGGACAAUUUCAAAAAUCCAAUCCGAAACUUCAUCCGUGACUUGAAGAAGCUAAAUGUUCGCAAUCGUGAUUGGUUUUUUUAUCUUCACACAACAAUUCAAGCAAAUGCAUGCCGACAAUGGUUCUUUGCAGAAGAUUUGGAUAGUCCGAUUGCUGUAAUAAAAACCAGCCGCAGUACACACACCCACUAUGACACAUAUUCAGAUGAUGAAAAGAAACAAAUUGGUGAGCCCAACUGCUAUGGUUAUUUUUAUGAUAGAUUUCCUCACCUCGUGAUGCACUCUUACAAUUGUUUGCGACUACAUUACGUUGAAUUAAAGCGUCAGCUGCAUGCAAAAAAGGGCAUGUCAUUUGACGACUACUUCAGCCCUUAUCUAUCAAUGUUUUACAAUCCAUAGGUGAUGGUUAUGCUAUCUGAAGGAGGUGAAGGUGGAGGAGUAUUUUGUUUGCUUGUCAACGAGAAUUAUGGGUGGAUUGUUGUCAAAGUGAGUCAGUCAUGUUAAGCUGUUAACGUUUGAGUGUCAGUUGAGUUGGAGGAGAUUAGUCUAGUUGUUUUGACUGGAGAUUUCGCUCUGGUCUAGUUGGGUUCGUGGGGUUAAGGCUGCAGUAAAUACCCCCUGAACUAUGAGAGAGGGCUAAGUUAAUUUCUACAUUUCAUGAUGGAUGGUAUGGUGCUAUUCAGGGUUCCGAUUAAUGAUACAGAAAUUAUGUUGAGUGCCUUAAUUAAUUAAAUUG